GGCUCUAUGUGGGGUGGAUUCUUGGUUGGGAAGUUUGUUCUUAAGGUCAAGGUCAUUUUUAGGUCAAGUUGAACAUAUUGAAGUAAUUGACAGUGUUUUAAUUACAGAACUGAUCACAAAGUGGUUACUAGUUACUUUUCACAUGUUUUAUAAAUGUCUUACUUUAUAUAUCAUGUUUAUUUUAUAAUCUUAGAAUUAAUUGAGGCUAUAAUGAAAAAAA
rnacentral:lncRNA from 1 species